GAUGAACGCUGGCGGCGUGCUUAACACAUGCAAGUCGAACGGAAAGGCCGAAGCUUGCUUCGGUACUCGAGUGGCGAACGGGUGGGUAACACGUGGGUGAUCUGCCCUGUACUUCGGGAUAAGCUUGGGAAACUGGGUCUAAUACCGGAUAUGACGAUCUCUUGGAUGGGGUUGUGGAAAGCUUUUGCGGUAUGGGAUGAGCUCGCGGCCUAUCAGCUUGUUGGUGGGGUAAUGGCCUACCAAGGCGUCGACGGGUAGCCGGCCUGAGAGGGUGUACGGCCACAUUGGGACUGAGAUACGGCCCAGACUCCUACGGGAGGCAGUAGUGGGGAAUAUUGCACAAUGGGCGCAAGCCUGAUGCAGCGACGCCGCGUGGGGGAUGACGGCCUUCGGGUUGUAAACUCCUUUCGCAAUCGACGAAGCCUUUUGGUGACGGUAGGUUGAGAAGAAGCACCGGCUAACUACGUG
rnacentral:rRNA from 1 species